ACAGUACAAACUGAGCAGACCGUGACAGCCGUCAUGGAGUCGGGUCACAAAGUGACAGUGGGACGCAACAUCCACGGGACAGU
rnacentral:ncRNA from 1 species